rnacentral:rRNA from 1 species
GGGGUAACGGCCCACCAAGACUACGAUGGAUAGGGGUUCUGAGAGGAAGGUCCCCCACAUUGGAACUGAGACACGGUCCAAACUCCUACGGGAGGCAGCAGUGAGGAAUAUUGGUCAAUGGACGAGAGUCUGAACCAGCCAAGUAGCGUGAAGGAUGACUGCCCUAUGGGUUGUAAACUUCUUUUAUAUGGGAAUAAAGUAUUCCACGUGUGGGAUUUUGUAUGUACCAUAUGAAUAAGGAUCGGCUAACUCCGUGCCAGCAGCCGCGGUAAUACGGAGGAUCCGAGCGUUAUCCGGAUUUAUUGGGUUUAAAGGGAGCGUAGGUGGAUUGUUAAGUCAGUUGUGAAAGUUUGCGGCUCAACCGUAAAAUUGCAGUUGAAACUGGCAGUCUUGAGUACAGUAGAGGUGGGCGGAAUUCGUGGUGUAGCGGUGAAAUGCUUAGAUAUCACGAAGAACUCCGAUUGCGAAGGCAGCUCACUAGACUGCAACUGACACUGAUGCUCGAAAGUGUGGGUAUCAAACAGGAUUAGAUACCCUGGUAGUCCACACAGUAAACGAUGAAUACUCGCUGUUUGCGAUAUACAGUAAGCGGCCAAGCGAAAGCAUUAAGUAUUCCACCUGGGGAGUACGCCGGCAACGGUGAAACUCAAAGGAAUUGACGGGGGCCCGCACAAGCGGAGGAACAUGUGGUUUAAUUCGAUGAUACGCGAGGAACCUUACCCGGGCUUAAAUUGCAUUUGAAUAAUCUGGAAACAGGUUAGCCGCAAGGCAAAUGUGAAGGUGCUGCAUGGUUGUCGUCAGCUCGUGCCGUGAGGUGUCGGCUUAAGUGCCAUAACGAGCGCAACCCUUAUCUUUAGUUACUAACAGGUCAUGCUGAGGACUCUAGAGAGACUGCCGUCGUAAGAUGUGAGGAAGGUGGGGAUGACGUCAAAUCAGCACGGCCCUUACGUCCGGGGCUACACACGUGUUACAAUGGGGGGUACAGAAGGCAGCUACCUGGUGACAGGAUGCUAAUCCCAAAAACCUCUCUCAGUUCGGAUCGAAGUCUGCAACCCGACUUCGUGAAGCUGGAUUCGCUAGUAAUCGCGCAUCAGCCAUGGCGCGGUGAAUACGUUCCCGGGCCUUGUACACACCGCCCGUCAAGCCAUGAAAGCCGGGGGUACCUGAAGUACGUAACCGCAAGGAGCGUCCUAGGGUAAAACUGGUAAUUGGGGCUAAGUCGUAACAAGGUAGCCGUACCGGAAGGUGCGGCUGGAACACCUCCUUUCU